CCGCCCGUCACACCAUGGGAGUCAUUUGCUCCAGAAGUCGAUGUGCCAACCGCAAGGAGGCAGUCGCCCAAGGAGUGAAUGGUAACUGGGGUG
rnacentral:rRNA from 1 species